UUAAUACCGGAUAGCAUACGAAUAUCGCAUGAUAUUUUUAUUAAAGAAUUUCGGUUAUCGAUGGGGAUGCGUUCCAUUAGUUUGUUGGCGGGGUAACGGCCCACCAAGACUACGAUGGAUAGGGGUUCUGAGAGGAAGGUCCCCCACAUUGGAACUGAGACACGGUCCAAACUCCUACGGGAGGCAGCAGUGAGGAAUAUUGGUCAAUGGGCGAGAGCCUGAACCAGCCAAGUAGCGUGAAGGAUGAAGGCUCUAUGGGUCGUAAACUUCUUUUAUAUGGGAAUAAAGUAUUCCACGUGUGGAAUUUUGUAUGUACCAUAUGAAUAAGGAUCGGCUAACUCCGUGCCAGCAGCCGCGGUAAUACGGAGGAUCCGAGCGUUAUCCGGAUUUAUUGGGUUUAAAGGGAGCGUAGGUGGAUUGUUAAGUCAGUUGUGAAAGUUUGCGGCUCAACCGUAAAAUUGCAGUUGAAACUGGGAGUCUUGAGUACAGUAGAGGUGGGCGGAAUUCGUGGUGUAGCGGUGAAAUGCUUAGAUAUCACGAAGAACUCCGAUUGCGAAGGCAGCUCACUAGACUGUUACUGACACUGAUGCUCGAAAGUGUGGGUAUCAAACACGAUUAGAUACCCUGGUAGUCCACACAGUAAAC
rnacentral:rRNA from 1 species